rnacentral:rRNA from 1 species
AGCCAAUAGAUACCCGGGUAGUCCACGCCCUAAACGAUGUCUACUAGUUGUUGGUGGAGUAAAAUCCAUGAGUAAACGCAGCUAAACGCGUGAAGUAGACCGCCUGGGGAGUACGGUCGCAAGAUUAAAACUCAAAGGAAUUGACGGGGGCCCGGCACAAGCGGUGGAUUAUGUGGAUUAAAUUCGAUGCAACGCGAAAACCUUAACCUGGCCUUGACAUGCCACUAACGAAGCAGAGAUGCAUUAGGUGCCCGUAACGGGAAAGUGGACACAGGUGCUGCAUGGCUGUCGUCAGCUCGUGUCGUGAGAUGUUGGGUUAAGUCCCGCAACGAGCGCAACCCUUGCCAUUAAUUGCCAUCAUUUAGUUGGGCACUUUAAUGGGACUGCCGGUGACAAACCGGAGGAAGGUGGGGAUGACGUCAAGUCCUCAUGGCCCUUAUGGCCAGGGCUUCACACGUAAUACAAUGGUCGGUACAGAGAGUUGCCAACCCGCGAGGGGAGGCUAAUCUCAGAAAGCCGAUCGUAGUCC